AGGACGAACGCUGGCGGCGUGCUUAACACAUGCAAGUCGAGCGAGACCCUGCCUUCGGGUGGGUGUUCUAGCGGCGAACGGGUGAGUAACACGUGGGCAACCUGCCCUCAGCUCUGGGAUAACUCCAAGAAAUUGGGGCUAAUACCGGAUAUGACCGCUGACCGCAUGGUCUGGUGGUGGAAAGAUUUAUCGGCUGGGGAUGGGCCCGCGGCCUAUCAGCUUGUUGGUGGGGUAGUGGCCUACCAAGGCGACGACGGGUAGCUGGCCUGAGAGGGUGACCGGCCACACUGGGACUGAGACACGGCCCAGACUCCUACGGGAGGCAGCAGUGGGGAAUAUUGCGCAAUGGGCGGAAGCCUGACGCAGCGACGCCGCGUGGGGAUGACGGCCUUCGGUUGUAAACCUCUUCAGCAGGGACGAAGCGAAAGUGACGGUACCUGCAGAAGAAGCACCGGCCAACUACGUGCCAGCAGCCGCGGU
rnacentral:rRNA from 1 species